rnacentral:rRNA from 1 species
UACGUAGGGGGCUAGCGUUGUUCGGAAUUACUGGGCGUAAAGGGCGCGUAGGCGGUCCGAUAAGUCCCGUGUGAAAGCCCCCGGCUCAACUGGGGAACUGCACGGGAAACUGACGGACUUGAGUUCGGGAGAGGGAAGCGGAAUUCCGGGUGUAGCGGUGAAAUGCGUAGAUAUCCGGAGGAACACCGGUGGCGAAGGCGGCUUCCUGGACCGACACUGACGCUGAGGCGCGAAAGCUAGGGGAGCAAACGGG